UCCUGAAGCUUUAACCUCAUCUCAUCUGCUUCAUAGUCCACUGGAUAUGGGCUUUGAAUUUCCAAGUAAUCUGCUUCAGAAUUGAACUGAUAGGUACCACAGUGUCUCACUGGUGCAAAAGUGUUGUAGGGACCUUGAGUGGUCAUGAAGGAUCCUGUGCCAGUUCUUGGCUGGUAAGAAGAUGCAUCUUGUAGGUGAAAUGAAUUCCCAUAAAUGCUAGAACUAGAUGGCUGUAUUAAUUCUUCUACUGGGGAGUCAAUGAAGUAUUUCUCAUAACUCUCACUAGAGUAAGAAUCGGUCAUAUACAUGGUCUUACGCCGAUCAGAGCAAAAUAUUUGGUUGGAGAACCCAGAAUUCUCGUUGCUCCCAUUCAAUGAGUAAAGCUUAUGAUUUUGGUAGGGUGUGGCAGAAAGCUCUGCAGGUCUAACUAAUGACAUGAUUUCUCUAAAUUAACCCAGUCUUGGAGAGUGAUGCGAUCAUAUAUUGCAAUGCCUCAAGAGGAAGCAAUAAGGUUCAUAUCAACAGCUAAUCCAUCAAUUUCAGGAGAUAAUCAGAUAGACAUAAACCGCAAGAUUAGCUUUGAAGGAAGGGAGAAACAUAAGCCUUUGACUCUAAAGAACAGUGUCUAAAGAGAAGCCAAAAGCAAGUAUGCCUCUUUAUGCUCUCCAACAUUUUCUUUGAGAAAGAAACUUCUNNNNNNUGUGAGGUUAUUGGGCAGGUUGAAGUGCAACAAAUCAGAUAAAAAAUUAAAAUAAUGAAAGCUUAC
rnacentral:misc_RNA from 1 species